UGGGGAAUAUUGCACAAUGGGCGCAAGCCUGAUGCAGCCAUGCCGCGUGUGUGAAGAAGGCCUUCGGGUUGUAAAGCACUUUCAGCGGGGAGGAAGGCGAUAAGGUUAAUAACCUUGUCGAUUGACGUUACCCGCAGAAGAAGCACCGGCUAACUCCGUGUCAGCAGCCGCGGUAAUACGGAGGGUGCAAGCGUUAAUCGGAAUUACUGGGCGUAAAGCGCACGCAGGCGGUUGAUUGAGUCAGAUGUGAAAUCCCCGGGCUUAACCCGGGAAUUGCAUCUGAUACUGGUCAGCUAGAGUCUUGUAGAGGGGGGUAGAAUUCCAUGUGUAGCGGUGAAAUGCGUAGAGAUGUGGAGGAAUACCGGUGGCGAAGGCGGCUCUCUGGUCUGUAACUGACGCUGAGGCUCGAAAGCGUGGGGAGCAAACAGG
rnacentral:rRNA from 1 species